UACGUAGGGUGCGAGCGUUGUCCGGAAUUAUUGGGCGUAAAGAGCUUGUAGGCGGUUUGUCGCGUCUGCUGUGAAAAUCCGGGGCUCAACCCCGGACUUGCAGUGGGUACGGGCAGACUAGAGUGUGGUAGGGGAGACUGGAAUUCCUGGUGUAGCGGUGAAAUGCGCAGAUAUCAGGAGGAACACCGAUGGCGAAGGCAGGUCUCUGGGCCACUACUGACGCUGAGGAGCGAAAGCAUGGGUAGCGAACAGG
rnacentral:rRNA from 1 species